rnacentral:rRNA from 1 species
UACGAAGGGGGCUAGCGUUGUUCGGAUUUACUGGGCGUAGAGCGCACGUAGGCGGUUUGUUAAGUCAGGGGUGAAAUCCCAGAGCUCAACUCUGGAACUGCCUUUGAAACUGCGGUGCUAGAAUCCUGGAGAGGCGAGUGGAAUUCCGAGUGUAGAGGUGAAAUUCGUAGAUAUUCGGAAGAACACCAGUGGCGAAGGCGACUCGCUGGACAGGUAUUGACGCUGAGGUGCGAAAGCGUGGGGAGCAAACAGG